rnacentral:rRNA from 1 species
AAUGAACGCUGGCGGCAUGCCUAACACAUGCAAGUCGAACGAGACCAUCGGGUCUAGUGGCGCCAGGGUGCGUAACGCGUGGGAACCUGCCCUCAGGUUCGGAAUAACCCCCCGAAAGGGGUGCUAAUACCGGAUAAUGUCUUCUGACCAAAGAUUUAUCGCUCUUGGAUGGGCCCGCGUUGGAUUAGCUAGUUGGUAGGGUAAAAGCCUACCAAGGCGACGAUCCAUAGCUGGUCUGAGAGGAUGAUCAGCCACUCUGGGACUGAGACACGGCCCAGACUCCUACGCAAGGCAGCAGUGCGGAAUAUUGGACAAUGGGGGAAGGCCUGAUCCAGCAAUGCCGCGUGAGUGAUGAAGGCCUUAGGGUUGUAAAGCUCUUUUACCCGGGAUGAUAAUGACAGUACCGGAUGAAUAAGCUCCGGCUAACUCCGUG